rnacentral:rRNA from 1 species
UACGGGGGGAGCAAGCGUUGUUCGGAUUUACUGGGCGUAAAGGGCGCGUAGGCGGCCAGCACAAGUCAGUUGUGAAAUCUCCGAGCUUAACUCGGAACGGUCAACUGAUACUGUGCGGCUAGAGUGCAGAAGGGGCAACUGGAAUUCUUGGUGUAGCGGUGAAAUGCGUAGAUAUCUGGAGGAACACCGGUGGCGAAGGCGGCAUCCUGGACCAACACUGACACUGAGGAGCGAAAGCCAGGGGAGCAAACGGG